rnacentral:tRNA from 1 species
GGAUAUAUCUCAGUGGUAGAGCACGUGCUUAACAUGCAUGAGGUCCUGAGUUCAAUCCCCAGUACAUCCA